CAGUCAGUCUGUAAAUCGACCUCAAACAAAUUGCAACAGAAAAUAUUUUACCUGGUAUAGAAAGAAUAUGGAAUAACAUGAAUCAUAUCAAAAGUCUAGCAAAAUCUAAGUUGCGCAACAUAGAAAAAAACGGGUUUUUAUCGCGUUAUUUUUUGUGAUUUUUUUCUGACGACAACGGUCUUCCAUAGGCGAACAAAGCGUCUCCGAUACUCAGAAUAGCGACUGCAUAAUGGGGACAACAACAACAAAAUAAGUGUAAACAAAAUAAAUGUCAGUAAAGUACACUGUAAAGUGGGUUGGUAUAUAUUCCUUAAAAUAUUACAGAUCAUAAUAGGAAUUAUUAAUGUGGGGUCGUAUGUUUAUUAUGAGUACUGUAUUUGUUGAAAAUUAUUACUUGUUUUACUAGUUCUUUAUCCGUUGAAGGUCAACAGGUGUUUCAAGCGAUCUGUAUUAUACUUUUCAUGGAAAACAGUUUAAUUUAUAUAAAUAACAACUCUGAUUAACUCCUGUCUUAGUAAACAUUCAAAAACGGCCUAAAAAUGUGUAUUUAUAACAAGUUAAUUUCGACAGUAUUUUUAAACUAUGGAACGCCAUUAUCACUUUAAUUAUGACGAAUCACGUUAAAUAAAUUCUGAAUACUUUAAUCAUGUUUUAUUGUUAAAUGUGUAUUCUAGGUUGUUUUUUUUAUAUUUUUUAAUAGUUUUUUAAAAUUGUUUUACAUAUAUAAUGUAUGUAAUGUUAUUAUUAUUUCAGGGGUACCGCUUUGAUGUAGUCUUCAUUGAUGUUUGCUUGAUUUUGAAAAUAAAAAAAAAUCCAGUAAACUAUAUGUACACUAAAUGAAUUUCAUCAACACACCAGAGCCAAUGGGUAUGCCCGAUCAUGUGUUCUGAGGACACUGUGAUGUAUACGACUUAAAGAUGAACUCCUGUCGGAUUUGUUAACGGCUGUUUGAUGAUCAUACAAAGACAGUUAAAGGCAACGAAAAGGAAUGCAAGGGAAUAAAUGCUGCCAGUGAGAAAUAAAAUGACAGUUUAAAAGUUGAAUCGGAAUAAUAUAUUCACAUUGAGUGUAGAAAGAUGUACUGUAACCCACAUUACACUAAAAGAGACACUAAGACAGAAAAAGUAAACACUGAUGCCACCAUUAACACCAUUGAGAUCAAUGACUGAUAAGUUUUCAUACAAAAAAGAUUGUUUAUAUUGUGGUCAAUCUGUAAUAAGUCAGGGUAAAACAAGGAAGUGUGAUGUUUCGCCAGUAAGGACAAUAUAUUUAACCUACUAUUUUGAAUAUAAGCAUACAGAGGAAUGACUGUUUGUCUGAUACAGUGAGAGCAAGGAUAGAACAGGUUCACGACUUGCUUGUAACCGAUGCUCUUUACCAUGAAACAUGUUUAUGCUCCUCUAAUUUCAGAACUGGAAAAGAUAUACCAGAAGAAUUUCAGGUGCUACCAUCUAGUGAUAAAAAGUGAAAGAUUGGUCGACCAGAAAUUACAGAAGCGGGUGACGCUUUGUAAAAGUCAUGACAUUCUUGUGCUUAUGCUUAGCGAAGAUAUUUUACAAAUUAAAAUUUGCAAAUAUUUUUUUUUUACAUUUUAUGCUCAAAUGUAUCAAAUAUUUGAAAUUGACCUUCCAAAAGGUCAAUGUCACCUCUUUUGACGCAAUGUCAUGAUGUUAUAUAAUGACUCAGAAAAAAAUACAACAGAUGUGCUUGAAAGUAUUCAAGUUAUUAUAAAACUCAAUAUUAUUAUCAUAGAUAAUAUAAAUUUCCUAAAUGUUUCUUUAUUUUGUAUAAAAUUACCCCACCCACUAGCUGUACAAUGUUAAUAUAAAUAUUUCAAUAUAUGCAUUAAAUAUUGAUGGAAUGUAAAUUAAAUUCAUAAAACGUUGAAACUUGACAGUUUUCACAUGUACGUAAACCAUUAUGUAUUUUCUGUUUAAUAUCAUAUAACAUAGAGCUUUCAAUAAAUUGUUGAUCUACAGCAAUGUAAAAAUAUAAUAUUACCCCACCCACUUAAGUUAAUUAAUAAAUUUUAGAAAGGUAAAAGUAGUUUCUUUAAACGAAAACAACUUUUUGAUUACUUUAUGUUACUAUAGGGAUAGAUUAAGCUAUAUUUUUAUGCAUAUUAUAUAUAAAACUGAUUGGAAAAUUGUAUGUGUGUACUACAUUGAGUUCAAAUUAAAAAAAUAAAUACAAUGAUACCCAUAUAUUUUAUCUCAAUUUUUGAAAACAUUCCCCAAUUUAGAUUUUUCUAGACUUUUGAUAUGUUAUACAAUAUAGGUCUGGGGUUUCAAAACACUCAAAAUAUUUUCUGUUGCAAUUUGUUUGAGGUUUGGCUCUAUUUUGAGCUAGAAUGACUGGAC